CAAAAAAGUUCUGAGGGAAAGGAAAGAGACUUGGGAGAAUAAAGUCCCUUCUUUUCUUUUCAUUCAAAUCCUUUUUCCCUAACUUCUAUCAAUUCCUUUCCCUCUGAGCGGGAAAGUUAUAUCAUAGAUUAAACAUUAUCUUCAUUUGAUCGUGAGAAGGCGUAACAACUUUCUUUCGUUUUCGUUUGAAGUAACCAACUUUAAAACCGUUGCCGUUAGAGGUUUGCUUCCAUUUUGUUUUGGUUAAGCUGAACCCAUGAAACGGUGACGACCUGAAGUCUGGAAUAUUA
rnacentral:snoRNA from 1 species